UACAGAGGGGGCAAGCGUUGUUCGGAAUUACUGGGCGUAAAGGGCGCGUAGGCGGCCCGCUAAGUCGAACGUGAAAUCCCCGGGCUUAACCUGGGAACUGCGUCUGAUACUGGACGGCUAGAGUUUGGGAGAGGGAUGCAGAAUUCCAGGUGUAGCGGUGAAAUGCGUAGAUAUCUGGAGGAAUACCGGUGGCGAAGGCGGCAUCCUGGACCAACACUGACACUGAAUCGCGAAAGCUAGGGGAGCAAACGGG
rnacentral:rRNA from 1 species